rnacentral:misc_RNA from 1 species
GAUGAAGAACGCAGCGAAAUGCGAUAAGUAGUGUGAAUUGCAGAAUUCAGUGAAUCAUCGAAUCUUUGAACGCACAUUGCGCCCCUUGGUAUCCCGAGGGGCAUGCCUGUUCGAGCGUCAUUUCACCACUCAAGCCUGGCUUGGUGUUGGGCGACGUCCCCUUUGGGGACGCGCCUCGAAACGCUCGGCGGCGUGGCACCGGCUUUAAGCGUAGCAGAAUCUUUCGCUUUGGAAGUCGGGGCCCCGUCUGCCGGAAGACCUACUCGCAAGGUUGACCUCGAAUCAGGCAGGGAUACCCGCUGAACUUAAGCAUAUCAAUAAGCGGAGGA